AUAAAACUAAUUGACUUCCAAAGUCUUGUUUCUCCUCUAAAAUAAAUAAAGUCGGAUGAAACAGCCAUUGACAUCGGCACAAAAAUCAGAUUCUGAGGAACGAAAGAUGCUCUACAAGAAAUCAGCGGUGCAUUUGAUACUAGUCCUACUGCUAUCAUUUUCUCUACUCUGGCCUCCAUCUUCCACAACAAACACUCACUUAACCGGUAAGUUGAAUUACAACUAUAUAUAAAACUUGUUCUUCAUUACUUAUUUUUAUGAUCUUUUUUUUAUUGAAUAUGUUGUGUUGGUAUUUCGGGUUAAAAUUGCAGUGAAGGAGAGGAAUGAAGUGAUACAGAGAAAUCUAGCAUCAGGAAAACCACCUUCAUGUCCUCCACAUGCUUUUUUUUGUCAUGCUAAAAGUAAUUUUGCUCCUCCUCGUGAUCAUGGUAAGUAAGUAGUGCCCUCAUCCUUCACGCUGUAACCCAAAUUAAUGGUUAUUAUUCAUCAUAGCUUGUGAUAUUGUAUUCUUAUGUUUUUCAUAUUUCCCGUUUUGCUUAAAAGGCUUUAUAUAUUUCAAAUAAAUUUAGGAGUUUAAAAUUUUAUAUGAUGUGUAUUUUAAUAUAUUCAUGUAUUUGUAUUAUGUUUAAAAUAUUUAAUGAUUGUAGUGUAUGAAUAUGAGGUUUAAAGGCUUCAACCUUAAUAUUUAUAUGUGUUCAAUUAAUUUCCAAAAUAUGCAUUUUGGAUUA
rnacentral:lncRNA from 1 species